UCUUUACAAAUUCGGUCUCUAGCUAACUAGGCACCGUGACUGUUCCUUUGGAGUAGCACACUGAAGGGUUACCUCUUCUGUCUUUGUACAUAUUACUUUUAAUAUGAUCAGUUUCCUUAUAAUAAUUACAGUGUAAAAGUGAAUAUUUCUAUUUCCCUAGUGAAGGGUUAAAACAUGCUUUAUGAACUCUUAUGUGUUUGCAAUGGAUGCUGCUGCCCUGUGUUAGAUGCCUUUGUCUCUCAUACAGAUACCAGGCUUGUGUGGGUCUGGCAUCCAAGGUCAGCUCUCUACUAGAUGAAACCUGCUUUUUCUACUUCUGUGUGUUACUAAAAGAUCCUUUGUUAAGUUUCGCCUGAUGCAACAUAUAUAACAUCUGCCUGGCAACUGCUAUAUCCAAUUAUGUUAUGUCAAGUAUUAACCACCCCUACGUACCCCACCCAGGCACCUACCCCUAAGCCAAUGAGCCCUUUUACACUUGUCAGUUCCACCCAUAUGCAUUGUCUUAUAUACUCUUGUUAACUUUAUAAUAAACAGUGUGAAUUUUAACUGCUUGUGUGUGCAUGUACCUAGUGGUUAAAAGUUUACACUCCAGACGUCUGUAAGGCCAUCACAUCGAGGGUUAAAGAAAAUAAGGUCAAAUCCUUUCAGCUGGGGGUUAUGUCCGGGAUUCAGUGAUCGUCCCCGAAUAAUAAAGAUAGAAGAUUUAUUGUCUGUCUUUGCUAUGCGGGAUUGCGGUCAUACACUGAAGCUGAAUCCGUGUCAGUGUUCCGGGAACACGUGACAAGGUAAUAUUUAAGUCCGGGACUUAAUAUUACGAAGUUUUUAAAACAGGUAUCAGGGAUACCAUAGAAUCUUUAAUGUCUGGGACUUAAAGAUACGUCUGAGAAGGGACCAGGGGUCCGAGCGCACUUCUCCAAAGACGUUAGUAUCUGGGAUACUUAAAAUAGACCUGGGAGUCUAUACGUAACGUAGAGAAUACCCCGAUUUGAUCGCCUAUAUAUUUCUGUAUGUUUGUAGUGAGAUAAGUUCUUAUAUUUGGUCCAGACGGCUGGUAAGUUUUCGUCUGCCAGAUAUCUUUACUCAAACACUUUUCUUGCUUCCUGUCUAAAACGCUGUAUUUUUUCUGACAUCUUGUACGAAGGUAAGCGUACCCGUCAAAAGAUUUCAUGUUCUCAUUAUACAGAUAAUAUUGUGAUAUUGUCAAUGACUAAUUAACUGGUGUUAGCUAAUGCAUGCAUAGAAAGUUUUUGUAAAUUGCAUUUUUUUUGUUGUGAAAUUUCAUAGAAAGUCUUUUUGUUGUGAAAUUGCAUAGAAGGUUUUUUUUUUGUAAACUGCAUUUUUGUUGUGAUAUUGCAUAGACAGUUGUUGUGGGUUGUUGUGGAAAUUGCGUAGAAAGCUGGUGUAGAUUGCAUUUUUACUAUGGGAGGGACCUAUGUAUAAGUAGAGUGUCGUAUAUUUUAGAUAAUUUUCUUUUAAAAAGUUGUACUGUUGAUUUAUAUUACUGUCUGACAAUGGGCUCUAGUCAGAGUAAAAAAAACUGCAUAUCCCCCGCCCCUCCCUGGUGAGACAUGCAGGAUGUAUGUUGCCCGUAACUCUACCUCAGAGUAUUAUUUAGUUAACCCAUGGGUGGAUAAUUUAGCGGGAUGGACAGAGAAAGCAGGACGGGACCCAUUCCUACGGGAAGGCAGUAAUUACCUUUUCUAUAUGGAGAUUUAAGAAAAAAUGUCAGUUUCCAAUAGCACAGAAGCGAAGCUGCAGAGGAAUUGAACCUACACACUCCUUUAAAGUCGGAGACAGAGUCGUGGUGAAGGUGCUCCCCAGGAACAAGAGCCCAGGAGACUUCACCUAUGGUCCAGAGACAGAGGUCGUAGCAGUUACCCGAACAGCAGUCCUGACAGAGGAAAGUCCUACCUGGAUCCAUGCAUCCCGAGUAAAAAAAAAGGUUCCUAGACCAGACCUAGAGAGGGAAGCAAGUGAUUCCAGUGAGGUACGAACCGGGGCAGACAGCCCUGACCUCCCACCUAGCGAAGAAAGAAGAACAGAAGAAGAUGAGGAACCUGUCCCCUAUCUUUAUCCUGGGGACUACCUUGAUAGCCCUACUGGCCCUCACUCACCACACAAUAUGUGAGGUUGAUAUUACACAGACUAAUGGGAUCCCCACCUUGUGGUACAAUUCCUCCAAUACACACGUAGCCACAUAUAUCCUUGACUAUUUUAUGUUCCCCAAAAUUGCUGAUGACAAAUAUUAUAUACAACAAAGGAGGAAAUCAGGAAUGUCUGAGACAGUAUAUAUUUGUGUUACUGACGAAUGGUACUAUGACAAUAGAUAUUAUGGAUCUAAUUGUAAUUCCUGGGAAGCUGUGGGGUGGAAUACAGGAGUAGAUUGGAAAUAUGGCCCAUCGUUUGCAAAGAAUAGAUGGAGCAAAUAUGGAGUACCCCUACUUUCUAGACUAUCCAUUCAUAAGAUGGAUGAAGGCCCAAAUUCAUACAGGUUUAGACUAAACAUAGUGAAUCCUAGCAGAAGCGACAAUGAGACUUAUGUACUUGGUAUAUGGUGGCAAGCAGGGUAUUAUAGUGCAAGGCAAAUGUUUUAUUUAUGGGAUAUGUAUAAAAACCCAAAAUACCAGCCUAAAAUUGCUCCCCAAAACAAACCUUUAAAGCCCCAUAUUGCCACUUUUAAAGAUAUGGUGGCUAUUACUAACCCUACCUUUGAAGACACCCUAGCUAUUGAAACUGGUUUCUCUGACAUUAAUUUUUGGUUGGAAUGGAUGAAGUAUAGUGCUAACAAACACAAUAAAAGCAACUGUUAUGUCUGUGGCAAAUCUAGGCCCCACCUAGGUACAGUGCCCCUUAAUAUACCCCUAGAACAAGAAAAUUGUUUUUUUCAGCCUUUUUAAUGACACCAAAACAAAUGACAGUCAGUGCGAAAUGUGGAAAAGGGAAUAUCCCAUAUUGUCAAAAAAUCCCAACCCAGGAAGCACCAUAACCAUAUAUCCUGGAAACUAUACCUGUUAUACAUCUAACAUCACCCCAGGGAGAAAUUUAAAAACCUUCCCACCAGGGUAUUGUGCAAAUAAAAGAACAACUGUUUUAGUCAACCAAACUAGAUCAUUAGGCGACAUUUAUUACAUAUGUGGGAAACUGUAAAUAAAAACGUAGCCUGGAUUAAUUAUAUAUAUUAUAAUCAACAAAGAUUUGUUAAUGAUACCAAAGAUGCUCUUAAAGGUAUAGCUGAACAGCUAGAAGCCACUUCCCAAAUGACAUCCCAAAAUAGAAUGGCCCUUGACAUGAUCCUAGCAGAAAAAGGCGGUACAUGUGUUUACAUUAGUAAGGUGGAAGGCUGUUGUACAUAUAUUCCUGACAACACUGGUCCCAAUGGUAAGGUUACUUUAGCCAUAAACAAGUUAGAAACCUUAUCCAUAGAACUUAAGAAAAAUUCAGGUAUUGAUAACCCAUGGAGCCAAUAUUUUGGGUGGUUUGAAAAUUGGAAACAGGCUCUUGUGCAAAUAAGCAUAUUUAAACUCAUAACUUUAAUUCUUUUAGGCAUUAUAGUUUAUUGUGUAAUUCCCUGUGGAAAGAAACUUACCUCCAAAGGCAUUGAUAAGGCCCUGAUGUAUUAUGACAUAACCACCAGUCCUGUCACCUCCUCUGAUAGUAAGGGACCCGACGAUUAUGUCCAAUAUCUCAAGAACUGGAGGAACAAGAAAGGAGCCUCACUCAAGAAUCAUGUCAUAUAAUAAUCAUGAUUCUAAGAGGGGAUUGAAGGGUUACCUCUUCUGUCUUUGUACAUAUUACUUUUAAUAUGAUCAGUUUCCUUAUAAUAAUUACAGUGUAAAAGUGAAUAUUUCUAUUUCCCUAGUGAAGGGUUAAAACAUGCUUUAUGAACUCUUAUGUGUUUGCAAUGGAUGCUGCUGCCCUGUGUUAGAUGCCUUUGUCUCUCAUACAGAUACCAGGCUUGUGUGGGUCUGGCAUCCAAGGUCAGCUCUCUACUAGAUGAAACCUGCUUUUUCUACUUCUGUGUGUUACUAAAAGAUCCUUUGUUAAGUUUCGCCUGAUGCAACAUAUAUAACAUCUGCCUGGCAACUGCUAUAUCCAAUUAUGUUAUGUCAAGUAUUAACCACCCCUACGUACCCCACCCAGGCACCUACCCCUAAGCCAAUGAGCCCUUUUACACUUGUCAGUUCCACCCAUAUGCAUUGUCUUAUAUACUCUUGUUAACUUUAUAAUAAACAGUGUGAAUUUUAA